UCCGCUUAUUACUUGGGGUCUUUGUACAAGAGUCUGGGGAGACUUAAGAAGUGCUGUGUGAAAGAGAAGCAAACUUUUUAUUCAGAAGAUGGAAUACAGAGUCUGCCUUGUUUCUGACUGACAUAUGUUCUGUGUGUGUGAGAGAAGAACUGGGAUCAACACUUUCUGCGCAUAAGGAGAGCUUAAAGUGUUUCUCAGAUGGCUUGUGAGGGCUCUGCCAGUGACAUCACUCUCGCAGUUAAGGCCCCCCCCACUACUCCCCCAUCCCUCCUCCCUCUCAGGUGAAAGGUAUCAUUUGCCGCAUCUCCUGCCAAGUCUGGAGUUGGAAAACUUUAAUUUCCCUAGCUCUGCAGACGGUGCCAGAGGUUUGAUGUCCAUUACCCAAGCCCUGAAACAAGAGCUGACGUGGACUUGGAGUGAGCUAAGUGCUCUGUGGCAGCAUUACCUAACCCCCAGAACCUCUGCAGCGUCUUUCUCAGUGUCUCUCCACCUCUUCAUUUGCUUCCCCCCCGCCACCCCUCUUCGCUCCCUGUUGUCUCUUUUUUCUGAGGGCAUUGUCAUGAGCAGGGUUGAGAUUCCUGUAAAAAAAAAAAAAAAAGAAGA